UUAUUGAUUUCGACUCAAUGAUAGGACUAAUCCGGUACUUA
rnacentral:tRNA from 1 species